ensembl:Mt_tRNA
GUCUAGGUGGCAGACUCCGGCCAAUGCAGAAGACCUAAGCCCUUCUUACAGGGGUUCAACUCCCCUCCCAGACC